CGCGUGCACUGGUUCGGCCGGGCCUUUCCCUCUGGGGAACCGCAUGCCCUUCACUGGGUGUGUCGGGGAACCAGGACUUUUACUUUGAACAAAUUAGAUCGCUUAAAGAAGGCCUAUGCUCGAAUACAUUAGCAUGGAAUAAUAGAAUAGGACGUGUGGUUCUAUUUUGUUGGUUUCUAGGACCGCCGUAAUGAUUAAUAGGGACAGUCGGGGGCAUCAGUAUUCAAUUGUCAGAGGUGAAAUUCUUGGAUUUAUUGAAGACUAACUACUGCGAAAGCAUUUGCCAAGGAUGUUUUCAUUAAUCAGGAACGAAAGUUAGGGGAUCGAAGACGAUCAGAUACCGUCGUAGUCUUAACCAUAAACUAUGCCGACUAGGGAUCGGACGAUGUUAUAUUUUGACUCGUUCGGCACCUUACACGAAAGUAAAGUUUCUGGGUUCUGGGGGGAGUAUGGUCGCAAGGCUGAAACUUAAAGAAAUUGACGGAAGGGCACCACCAGGGGUGGAGCCUGCGGCUUAAUUUGACUCAACACGGGGAAACUCACCAGGUCCAGACACAAGUAGGAUUGACAGAUUGAGAGCUCUUUCUUGAUUUUGUGGGUGGUGGUGCAUGGCCGUUCUUAGUUGGUGGAGUGAUUUGUCUGCUUAAUUGCGAUAACGAACGAGACCUUAACCUGCUAAAUAGCCCGUAUUGCUUUGGCAGUACGCUGGCUUCUUAGAGGGACUAUCGG
rnacentral:rRNA from 1 species